ACGAGGCUAGACAUGACCUACCACAAAUGACCUGUACAGAUAUAUGUCCAAUAACAGGAAGUACACGAAUUUAAACAACUAAGAAGGAGGGGAGCAUACUAUAGGGUAUGACAGUUUAAAUAUAGAAAUGAUCGGAUAAGAAGUAAAGCCGUACAACACUAACUGAUAAGGAAAAACAUAGGAGAGCCCUACAUACAAAAACAAUAUACUUUAUCCAUACUCC
rnacentral:lncRNA from 1 species